GAUGAACGCUAGCUACAGGCUUAACACAUGCAAGUCGAGGGGAAACGACAUCGAAAGCUUGCUUUUGAUGGGCGUCGACCGGCGCACGGGUGAGUAACGCGUAUCCAACCUGCCCACCACUUGGGGAUAACCUUGCGAAAGUAAGACUAAUACCCAAUGAUAUCUCUAGAAGACAUCUGAAAGAGAUUAAAGAUUUAUCGGUGAUGGAUGGGGAUGCGUCUGAUUAGCUUGUUGGCGGGGUAACGGCCCACCAAGGCGACGAUCAGUAGGGGUUCUGAGAGGAAGGUCCCCCACAUUGGAACUGAGACACGGUCCAAACUCCUACGGGAGGCAGCAGUGAGGAAUAUUGGGCAAUGGGGGAAACCCUGACCCAGCAACGCCGCGUGAAGG
rnacentral:rRNA from 1 species